rnacentral:lncRNA from 1 species
GUGCUUGUACAAAUUAGAUGUGCGAAAGCUUAUACUAACAUGAAGUCCAAUAUUCAUCAAUAGUACUAAGUGUUAAGUCAAUGACUACUUUCAAUCCUGCAUCAGUACACAGAAAGAUGUGCUAGGGGGAAACAAUGUACCUGUAAAAAUGAAUUAAACAUCUGUUACCAACAGCUGAUUAAGCUCAGUUUCUAGCUCGGACCAGCUCGUUAAGCUUCUGAAUUUCUUUUCUUAUAAUAGAAAUUUCUGCCAUCAUUGGAUGAUACUUCCCUUUGGCAAAAUCAUAUGGUUUAGUAAAGUUAACUAAGAAGUGUGGUUGAUAUGUUUUUUCUUUCUGCAAAUGCAUCACUUGGGAUGUGCUCAAAGGGAUGGGAUGAAGUUGGAAACUAGCCUUUAUUAAAUGAAUAAGAAAACAAACCUUUUCUUGCACGGAAUCUUUGCCUUGUGGUAUAUGUGGUUGCUUUUGUAUCUGAAAGAAACAGAGGACGACUAGUCUCUGUUUCACUCUCAACUUGUUCAUUCCACUCAAACUGAGAAGUCAAAACAAUAAACAUAAAGAACAAAAAAAAGCAACCACGAUCUCGCCAUCUUGCAGGUAAAAUGGUCUUUUAUUUGAUCUUUCAUAAUCUGCUACAUAAUAACAAAACACCAAAACUCAAAAUCACAAACUAACAAAAGUAGAAAAGGAUCCAAAUGACAAAGUAAUCUUUGAACAUUCUAUUUACAAGAGCUGUAGGAAAGGAUUGAAACUUUCACAUUCCAAAAACUCUGAAUCUAAGAUUACUGCUCCAAAUCCACAUCCAAUGGAGGAAGAAGAAGAAUUUACUGCACCAGAUUAAACAUGACAACAAAGUCGAAAACAGAGCAGGACAAAAACAAAGACGAUUACCAAACUGAUUAGACUCUCACCAGUCGAAAUCUGAAAGCAAGUUUUUGCCUCAAUUGAGAGAAGAAGAAAAAUAAAUAAGAGCUAGCAACAUGUCUACUAUUUCACUUUUUUAAGAGUUUU